AAUCAACGCUGGCGGCGCGCUUAACACAUGCAAGUCGCACGAGAAAGGGAGCAAUCCUGAGUAAAGUGGCGUACGGGUGAGUAACACGUGGGAAUCUACCUCUUGGCGGGGAAUAACCCUGGGAAACCGGGGCUAAUACCGCAUAAGCUCGUGAGAGGAAAGCAGCAAUGCACCGAGAGAGGAGCCCGCGGCCGAUUAGCUAGUUGGUGGGGUAAUGGCUCACCAAGGCGAAGAUCGGUAGCCGGCCUGAGAGGGCACACGGCCACACUGGCACUGAAACACGGGCCAGACUCCUACGGGAAGCAGCAGUGGGGAAUCUUGCACAAUGGGGGAAACCCUGAUGCAGCGACGCCGCGUGAGCGAUGAAGCCCUUCGGGGUGUAAAGCUCUUUCGACAGGAACGAUAAUGACGGUACCUGGAGAAGAAGCUGCGGCUAACUACGUG
rnacentral:rRNA from 1 species